rnacentral:rRNA from 1 species
UACGUAGGCGGAAAAUUAAGUCAGUAGUGAAAUCCUGCAGCUUAACUGUAGAACUGUUAUUGAUACUGGUUUUCUUGAAUAUAGUUGAGGUAGGCGGAAUGUGUAAUGUAGCGGUGAAAUGCUUAGAUAUUACACAGAACACCGAUUGCGAAGGCAGCUUACUAAGCUAUGAUUGACGCUGAGGGACGAAAGCGUGGGGAGCGAACAGGAUUAGAUACCCUGGUAGUCC